UACGGGGGGGGCAAGCGUUGUUCGGAAUUACUGGGCGUAAAGGGCUCGUAGGUGGCCAACUAAGUCAGACGUGAAAUCCCUCGGCUUAACCGGGGAACUGCGUCUGAUACUGGAUGGCUUGAGAUUGGGAGAGGGAUGCGGAAUUCCAGGUGUAGCGGUGAAAUGCGUAGAUAUCUGGAGGAACACCGGUGGCGAAGGCGGGUCUCUGGGCCGAUACUGACGCUGAGGAGCGAAAGCGUGGGGAGCGAACAGG
rnacentral:rRNA from 1 species